rnacentral:rRNA from 1 species
GAUGAACGCUGGCGGCGUGCUUAACACAUGCAAGUCGAGCGAAGCACUUAAGUUUGAUUCUUCGGAUGAAGACUUUUGUGACUGAGCGGCGGACGGGUGAGUAACGCGUGGGUAACCUGCCUCAUACAGGGGGAUAACAGUUAGAAAUGACUGCUAAUACCGCAUAAGACCACGGUACCGCAUGGUACAGUGGUAAAAACUCCGGUGGUAUGAGAUGGACCCGCGUCUGAUUAGGUAGUUGGUGGGGUAAUGGCCUACCAAGCCGACGAUCAGUAGCCGACCUGAGAGGGUGACCGGCCACAUUGGGACUGAGACACGGCCCAGACUCCUACGGGAGGCAGCAGUGGGGGAUAUUGCACAAUGGAGGAAACUUUGAUGCAGCGACGCCGCGUGAAGGAUGAAGUAUUUCGGUAUGUAAACUUCUAUCAGCAGGGAAGAAA